GAUGAACGCUAGCGGGAGGCUUAACACAUGCAAGUCGAGGGGCAGCACGAGGUAGCAAUACUUUGGUGGCGACCGGCGCACGGGUGAGUAACGCGUAUGCAACCUACCCUGUACAGGGGGAUAACCCGGAGAAAUUCGGACUAAUACCCCAUAAAGAUAUUUAGAGGCAUCUUUGAAUAUUUAAAGUUACGACGGUACGGGAUGGGCAUGCGUGACAUUAGCUAGUUGGUAGGGUAACGGCCUACCAAGGCUUCGAUGUCUAGGGGUCCUGAGAGGGUGAUCCCCCACACUGGUACUGAGCCACGGACCAGCAUCCUACGGGAGGCAGCAGUGAGGAAUAUUGGUCAAUGGGCGCAAGCCUGAACCAGCCAUCCCGCGUGAAGGAAGAAUGCGCUAUGCGUUGUAAACUUCUUUUCCAGGGGAAGAAAACCUGAUACGUGUAUCGGCUUGCCGGUACCCUGGGAAUAAGCAUCGGCUAACUCCGUACCAGCCGCCGCCGUAAUAC
rnacentral:rRNA from 1 species